rnacentral:rRNA from 1 species
GACGUAGGGUCCAAGCGUUGUCCGGAUUUACUGGGCGUAAAGAGCGCGUAGGCGGUCUUGUAAGUGUGAAGUGAAAUCUCCAGGGCUCAACCCGGAAACUGCUUUGCAUACUGCAGGACUAGAGGGAUGCAGAGGUUUGUGGAAUUCCUGGUGUAGCGGUGAAAUGCGUUGAUAUCAGGAGGAACACCAGUGGCGAAGGCGACUUCCUGGCCUGUUCUUGACGCUGAGGCGCGAAAGCUAGGGGAGCAAACGGG